CGCCUCUUGAAAAACAUAAGAGGUCCAGCCUGCCCAGUGACAUUGUUUAACGGCCGCGGUAUCCUAACCGUGCGAAGGUAGCGUAAUCACUUGUCCUUUAAAUGAGGACUAGUAUGAAUGGCAUCACGAGGAUUAUUCUGUCUCCUUUCUCUAAUCAGUAAAACUAAUCUUCCCGUGAAGAAGCGGGGAUACACUUAUAAGACGAGAAGACCCUAUGGAGCUUUAAACAAAACAACAUUUGUUAACUUCCCCCCUCAAAUUUCAGAAAAACAAUUUUUAUCUUAACACUGUGUUUGUUAGUUUUAGGUUGGGGUGACCGCGGAGAAAAAAGUAACCUCCACAUUGAAAGGGGCUUUCCCCUAAACAAAAAGUCACAACUUUAUGUAUCAACAAAUUGACAUCAAUUGACCCAAUAUUUUGAUCAACGAAACAAGUUACCCUAGGGAUAACAGCGCAAUCCACUUCGAGAGCCCCUAUCGACAGGUGGGUUUACGACCUCGAUGUUGGAUCAGGGUAUCCUAGUGGUGCAGCCGCUACUAAAGGUUCGUUUGUUCAACGAUUAAAACCCU
rnacentral:rRNA from 1 species